rnacentral:rRNA from 1 species
GGUUUCGUCUCGGGUAGCCUCACGGUUUUCACCCGGUCCGGAAUCCUCCUCGUGGCAAACCAGGGUUCUCUUAACUGGGCGCUCUGGGGAACCACGACGUUUACUUUGAGAAAAUUAGAGUGUUCAAAGCAAGCGUUCGCUUGAAUACAUUAGCAUGGAAUAAUGGAAUAGGGCUGCUGCCCCAUUUUGUUGGUUUCUGGGACCGUAGCA